CCUUAAAGUUUUUACUAUUUACUUUUUACGAUUAUUGACCAAGGAGUUGACUUUUUCCUCGUCCGUUGAGUUAAGGAAAUUUAUUUGAGAUUGUCGUAGAAUACGCAAAAUCGAGUUCGUGGACACGUAGUUUGUUUAAAUUGGAUUUAUAUCGGAAAAGUUAUGACCAAAAAUAAAAAUUUCUAUUUUUGGCAUGGCUUUUUGUUUGUGAGCUUCUAUAUGUGGAAGGAGGACUUAUUAAAACAGAUGGAAGAGAGAGAAAGGGAAAGAAUCAGAAAAAAAUAAAAGGAAAGAGAGAGAGCACGGGUAGAAACCCGAGUCACCCCCCUCCCAUUUUCUUUUUUUUCUUCUUCCGUCGCUGCUCUUUCCUUCUCCGGCGAAUUCGUCGCCGUCCGGCCACCCCAAGACGCAUCGUUGGGCACGGCGUGAUCCUCUCUUCCUUCUCCUUCUAGCUAUCUUGUCUUGAGCUGUGGAGGAAGAAUUCAAGGUGAUUGGGGACGUGAACAGUAGCGUGAACAGUUCCAUCCGAGUUCUUGAGUUUGGGUUUGGAAUUCCAGCUUUUUCUGCUUGUUUUUGGAGAUUUCUGCUGGUUUUCUUUGAAGUUUUGGGUUGCUGGGUUGUUGUUGAUGAUCAUAUCUAACUAUUGCAGCUUGUGUUGGCCGGUGGAGGAAGAUUUGAGAGUAUUUGGAGACGUGAACAGUAUUAUGAACAGUGCUGCGAGUUCUUGAUAUUUUUUUGGGUAUAAAUUCGGCUAUUUCUGCUUGCUUUUGGUGGCUGCUGCAGGUAUAGAAAUGGUUGUGUGGGUUAUGAAGUUGAUUUUGGAAUAAAUAGGUUGAUUGGAAUUGAAUUUACUCUUUAAGUGUGUGUUAAACUUGAGGUUUGUUUGAUAUUGAGUUUUCUUUGGUUGUGAUGUUGAACAUGGUUGAUGGAUUUGUCAUGUUUGUAGUGUUGGGUGAAAAUUCUUGGUAAAGGGCUAUUAUUAAUUAUUUGUUAGGAAGUAGAGAGAAUUUGAGAUUGUUAGAGUGGAAUUUGUGAUUUUGCAAAGGAGAGAAAAAUUAAGAAAGAAUGUGGAAUUGUUCUAUUUUGUGGAGGAGUUUGGAGUGGAGAUUGUGUUUUGGAAAAGAAAAUCUAGAGAGGAGUUGAAAUUUAGAGAUGGAAUUGUGAGUGGAAAUAAGGAAGAUUAAGAAUGAAUUUGGAAAUUUUGGAAAGGAUUUUUAUGAUAAAUUGGUGGUAUUUUUGUGAUGAAGGAAGUGAGAUUAAAUUGAUUUAGUUAUCGAACGGUCCUUGUGAAGAUUUAAAUUAAGUGAAGUCAUUGAAUGGUUAAGGAAUCGAUUGAGUGGUUAUGAGUUAGAGGGCUUUGACAUCGUAAGGAAUUAUAGAAUUUAAUUCCGAAUAGAAGUGUGGAAUUUUAUAAUAAUUUGUGAUUAAUAGACGCUUAUUCCGAGGGGAAUGGGUUGUUUUGAGAGUAUUUCAUUGUAUGGUCAAUUAUAUCCUAUUCUAUUGUGACAGGACGUACUGAGCCCUCGAGCGAGGAGGACACAGACAGGCAGCAGGGUUAGCUGCGGGAUUUACUUGUGAGUGGACUUUUAUUUUGUUAAAAUAAUGCAUGCAGCUUGGAAAUAAGUUUACAGUUGAUUUAUUAUUUGAGGAAAUGUGACUAUGGAAAGAAAAGGAUUAAAAAGGAAACAGUUGACAAGGAGGCCAGUUUGGCGCAUGCGUAUCUUACCUAGUUGGCAGUCCCUUCUAGGUAAUAGUCUGGUUG